GGAAAAUGGUACCACAUACUCUUUUUUCUUACAUGUAACCAAAGAAUAUUUUUAUGCCCCAUUUCUCGCAUGUCCAAGUUUUAAUUACAGUACUUACUGCAAAAUCCAAUGUGCAUGUCCUUGGAUAGGCAGGGAUACCUGGGCUGAAGCGCCAGAUUGUUUCCAAGUGAUUAAAUAGCUUUCCAUCAGUGCAGGAUGCCUAAAAGAAAGUUUGAAAAGCCAAGCUGCAGUUAAGCUCCUACACGAGGGACAAAUCAGGAUUACUGAACGUGCAUUCGCAUUCUGCUAGACUGUGAGGGUCACAGCAUAGUUAAAAAUUGUUCUCAGUAGUGCAGCCAGCGAGAGAUCUCAUUUGCACAGCGUCACGUAGAGUAAAAUAACUGAAAACCUUGUAUGGUGGGGGAAGGAUUUUUGUCUUGAGUCGUAAAACAGAUCUCUCGCCUAAGGCAUCGCACACCACCAUAAUGUUAGUGCUCUAUUACCAAAAUAUUGGUAUAACACUGUUUUCAGCAAAGGAUGUCGAUAUUUACUGGCUUUGUAUAUGUAUUUAUUUUAAUACGUGUAUAGAAUGCUUUAUAUAUUAAUGUGUAGACCAGUAAUCUUGUGCUAUAGGAAUGUUUGACUUCAAUCGGGUUUAUUUUGAUGCUGAACUCAAAAAGUCCUUUGUCAUAAGGCACUAUCAUCAUCAAGAACUACCCCAAAGUCAGUGAAACCAUAUACACUCAAGUUCAUAAUUGCCUUAUAUCUUGGCUUUGUUUCCAGCAAGACACAUUUAAUCAGUGAUCUGAGAGCCCUUCUAUACAGUCCUACUUUAAAACCAUAAACCAAGCCGCCUCAAAGACUGAUCAAAUGCAGAAAAGUACCUCAUUUUUUUCUGCCCAGUAUAGCAAUACUGUGCCUCACUGCUUCUGCAACAGAAGGGGAAGGAAUAGAGAGAAGGGCAGACAGGAAAAGGGUGCUGAGCCCUUCAGGCCUGUUGCUGACAAAAGGACAGGAAGCAUGGGGAAAGUGCCAGCAUGUGCCCCUUGCUCCCAACCUGACAAGCAGUGAAACUCAGCCAGCUCUUCCCUCAGCAGCAAGAGCUGCUGCUACCAGCUUGAUUUUCUAGGGCUUAAGCACUGCUGCUGGAAGCAAGAAAUCCAUGUUCAUUUUGUCAUCGCCAAUAGGCUGCUAUACAGAAACACCAUGCAAGCUGCCUUUGCCCAGAGUUAUUUCUGAAGACAGUGUAAUAGUCCAAACACAUAGUACUUCAUGGUAAUGUUCCUACAGUUACAUGAGCAUAAUGUAAACUUGUAGGAAAAAUCAUCCCAGCAGAGAUAACACAUUUCUUGGUCUUUUCUGAGAUGGAAACUUUUCUUUUGACGGAAUAAAAGCGAAAAAGGCUUUUUAAGGCAACCUGAUAUCUAUCUGUGAAAGAAGAAAAAAAAAUAGGCACUCUUGUCAGGGAAGAACAGAAAGGGAAAGCAUGUAAAACGCAGAUUUUUCUAUUGCAAUUGUUCAACUUUAUUAGAAAUGCAAGGAAGUUUUUUUUUUCUUUCCAAAAUUAGUAAGUACCUUGAUUAAAAGUACUUUGCAUGUUCUCUUUCCAAUUCAUGUCCCCCCUGCACUUAAGAAACCCAUUUCUGUUUUGAGCAGUGUCCCAUAAGAGGAAGCCUAGAAAAGAACAGUAAAAUAAGAUGUCCAAAUACGUGUCUUGAAUAGUAACCAACUGUCAUUUCAUUAAUUGCUCCAAAAGGUGAUCAAAAUUGCCACAUAAAGGGAGAGGCAGUUGGUACAGAUCUGGUUGGGGCUGUUCCUAACAGAGUGAACCUGUGAGGUAGACAAGCAGUUGGAAGAUCCUGGCCUCAUUUAAGUUUCUCCUUUAAUUAUUGCCCUUGAAAAGCUGAAAGGAGAAAACACACAAUUGCUAAACAAAUAAAUUCUAAGAAAUGGACUUUAAAACAACUGAUGUUCUCAUAAUAUAUUGAAUAACAAGCUCUUCAGCAGAUCUUCAUCCUGAAGUUAACACUUCUUACAUAAUUCAAACUGUCAGAAGAAAAAGAAUGAUUUUGCUCAGAUACCAGAAGCGACAGUUGUCCGAUAACUUUGAAGCCAUUGAUUUUGCAUUUAGAUAGGCUUGAUACAUAACAAAAAUAAACACGAACUGGCUAUCUUGAAUGGCUGCCUCUUUCUCCAGCAAAAACAAGCUUAAAAAACAAUUUUUCCCCUAUUUGGCAGCCGAUGUUUUAAAAGCAGAUUCAAAUUAUCCCUGAGUAACCUGAAGUUUUUAAGGAAAAGCACCAGUUUUGUACCACGGGAAGCAAUAUUGGAAUGUCUAACACAUGAGUUAUGGAGAGCAAUAGGUAAGAAGAAGUUACCUUAACUAAGUGUGGUCUCACCAGGGUAACAACCGAUGUGUAUCGUUCUACUACAGGAGGGAAGCCUAUUUCUAGCUGUGCUUUGCAGUACCCAGAGCGCUUCGAUAACACGUCUGACUUUUUACACCAAGGCACAAAUAGCUUGUAGUUCUCCACAACAGCAACAACUUCGUACAUUUCCUGCAUAGAAUAACUGGAAUAAAAAGGUGAGCGUUACAGUUACCUGGUGUUUUUACUAUGAAUUCAGUAUUAAAAGGUUCAAAGAUAUCGUUUAUGACACAGGCAGUUCUGAAGGUGAACAUGCAGAUACCAGAAAACCCUACUGUUACUUCUGAAAAUUAAACAUGCAGCAAGAGAAAAAAAAAGCUAUUAUAGUAAAAAAAAAAAAAAAAAAAAAGCUAUUAUAGUAAAUUGGUGAAAGCCUUUGCAGAAAGAAGCAAAACAGCACACAGCAUCCAGCUGUGAGGUUAGUGGCCGCUGGGCCUGUUGCCUGCUACUUUCUGCAGUACUGGGGAAGCAUGCUUAGAUUUCAAAUAGAAAAAAGAGUUUUUUCCAGCAUGGUAUGUUGUCAUUCGGGUGGAUGUGACGUUUCACGCAGUGAAAGAAUGUGCUCUUCACAUCCUCCAAAAAAGGGAUGGCAAAACUAAGGGCCUGUGUUUUAGAAGGUUUAAAUAGAGCAAUGCUGCGUUCCUUACUUAGCUCCUAAAACAAGCUGAUUAAAAAAUACACUCGCUGGAAAAACAGUAUUAUUGGACAAAGGUUCCUUUUAAACAACUACCCACAAUUUAUUGCAGCUCAAGAAUUACUAUAUAAAUGAAUGUUAAGUAUCAUCAAAAAUAUUAAACGUAAUGAAUGAAUUAUACUACUGCAGACUGGAGCCUGGGAACAGAUCCCGAUCUCAUUAAGUUGAUGAGAAGUUUUCCACAGUCUUUUUUCUGUGUGCCUGUGUUUCUUAAUCCCACAAUUAGUUAUUUUCUUUCUUUUGAAAAGAGAACAAAAUCUCAAGUGAGAAGUACCACAAAAUCUAAGUGUAACAUUGCACGUAUUUGCAAGAAAAGGGGGAAAAAAAAAUUCAGUUCUCCCAUCUUUUUGUAUACCCCCAUUUCACCAGAUUAGUGAUGCAUGCUUCCCUGUUGGGACUGUUUUUGUUCUGUUGCAGAAUAAAAAGGUUAUUUCUGCUUUUUCUUUCAAAGGAGAGACGGUAUUUUAGGUUCCUCAGUUUUUGGUAUUGAAUUUCAGACAUGAACAGCCUGACAUCUGCAAGUUCUGGAUGUCAGAACUUACUGCUGGUCUCCAGCUGGGCACAGUCUCAGGGCCGUGUAUCUUCAGGGAUGGUCAGCCUUUGGAUUUCCAGUGUUUCUGAUUAAUCACAGCAAACACAAAUUUUCAAAUUUCUAUACAUACCCUAUAAUUCUCCUUUCAGAGUAUUCUUUUCUUUUAUUUACUAGUGGUGCAGCGAUGUUGAAGAAACUUCUUGAAAAGGUAUGGCUCAGCACAGGCACUUGCAGAGGAGAAAUUCUGGUCAUCAGAAUACCACAAGAAGCCAAGUGCCUGCAACAGUGAGAAUGCUUUUAGAUGUUUGUGUUUUCAGCAAGGCAGAUCACAGCAGAUUAUCUGUGAAGAAUGGAUGCUACCAGAACUUGCUGGGCUUGGCCCCGGUCCGGAGCGGCUCGCUUCUUCAGGAAACCACACAAGUGCGAGCCGCAACGGGCAGUCGUGUGUUCCUGUGAGCCCGGCAGAGGCCCCCGAAGCAAAGCCAAGUCCCUCCCAGGAUGCAAGCACCGCUCCUACUGCCGCGCUGCCCUGACAGCCCCUCAGCGCUUCCCCAGCAGCAGCACGUAUUCGGGGGUUGUCUUUAAUUGCCACUAAGCUUUGCGCUGAAUGCCCCUCUCGGUAAUUGCUCCCGCUCUCCAUUCAGAACUGCAUCGUUUCUAAAAAGUUCAUUGAAAAUGGCUGGUUUACUUUGCAGGACCCAACUAUUUAAAUGGCGAAGAUGUAAAGUGA